GCUCAGUAACACGUGGACAACCUGGCCCUAAGGUGAGGGAUAACCCCGGGAAAACUGGGGAUAAUACCUCAUAAUCUACAGAUGCUGGAACGCCCCGUAGGUAAAAGGUCAGCCGCCUUAGGAUGGGUCUGCGGCCGAUUAGGUAGUUGUUGGGGUAAUGGCCCAACAAGCCUGUAAUCGGUACGGGUUGUGGGAGCAAGAGCCCGGAGAUGGAUUCUGAGACAAGAAUCCAGGCCCUACGGGGCGCAGCAGGCGCGGAAACUUUACAAUGCAGGAAACUGUGAUAAGGGAACCCCGAGUGCCCGUAUGGACGGGCUGUUCAGGUGCGUAAAAAACACCUGGAGAAAGGGCCGGGCAAGACCGGUGCCAGCCGCCGCGGCAAUACCGGCGGCUCGAGUGGUGGCCACUAUUACUGGGCUUAAAGCGUCCGUAGCUGGGUAGUUAAGUCUCUUGGGAAAUCUUCCGGCUCAACCGGAAGGCGUCUAAGGGAUACUGGCUACCUAGGGAUCGGGAGAGGUGAGAGGUACUUCGGGGGUAGGAGUGAAAUCCUGUAAUCCUCGAGGGACCACCUGUGGCGAAAGGCGCCUCACCAGAACGGCUUUCGACAGUGAGGGACGAAAGCUGGGGGAGCAAACCGGAUUAGAUACCCCGGGUAGUCCCAGCUGUAAACGAUGCGCGUUAGGUGUAUCGGUGACCACGAGUCACCGAGGUGCCGAAGGGAAACCGUGAAACGUGC
rnacentral:rRNA from 1 species